GUGAUCUAUUUCGUUCGGGUUAUCUAGCCACAAGUGUGUACGCAUGUCUCAUCUCAUACGUGCUUUAUGACCUGUCAAUCUUAUGCCACUUGAUGUGAUUUUCUUAAUACGUAAUAUAGUUUCUUCGUCUGUCAUGUAGUAAUAUGUUACAUUAUGAACGUAGGUUUCACAAGUUAUGUUUUCAAUUUCUCCGUUUGUAUUUGGUCCAGAUUUUUGCUUUAACACGUGUUCUCAGACAUUCGUCAUGUUCACCCUCCCAAUGCCUUGUGCAUUCAGCAUCAUCGCUUCUUUUUUUGCGAACCGUAAUUGCUCAGUACCUUAACAGAAGUCGAUUCGCUACCCAUUUUGUCGGUUUACUGACUCCUUUUUUCAGUCCGUGCGCUUGGGUUUGUGGCCCUAACCAACCACAAGUACGUGUAGCAACCUGCUCACGAGCUGCUUUCCCUAUUCGUAACUCUUAUUUCCACGAUUUUCCCUUUUAGCCUGCAUUUCUCGCUGUCAACUCUUUUCAGUUUCUGGAACUCUGCCAUGCAUUUGUAAGGAAUAUUUUCAAAGGUUCUUCCCAUUUGAGUCUUGCAUUCUGGUCGAAUUAUAAUGGAAUGCUGUUCUUGUGCAUAGGAACAAAACUUCCUGUUUCUUAAAUGUCUGGCUGAGUGACUCGGUUUUCGAAGAAGUUGGUCGACCUGUUAUAGACAAUAAUGCAGGUACGUUGUAGGGGUAAGGGCGAAAUCGUCAUGAUCCGCGGAAGUCGGAGCAGGUAGAAAGCUUUGUACACCAACAUUGGCGAGGCAGUGCAGAGCGGGAGUCAACCUGUAGGAGCCGAGGUACGUGCCUCUAGAGACAUUUGACGAACAAAGGUUCUCUCGGCCGUGAAAAUGUCGAUUGAGGUCUCCUGUGUUCGUACCAACGUUUCGGAGUAUAGUAUCCAUCUCCUAACAAGAAAAUGGAAACGACAUGUCCCUUCAAGACGCCGGUAUCCACCUGAAAGAUAAGGGGGCAUCACAACGGGCAUAAACUUGGGCAGUUUUUAAAUUCCGACAAAAUGAGUACUGCUUCCUCAGCAGGAGAUGAAUUAGCAGACCAUUUGAGCGGCUGUUACCGGCUUAAGGACUGUAUUCUGUGGAGUCGGCCAGAAGCCAAGGGUAGUCCAUUCACUUUCGGAGUGGAGCUGCAGAAAUUGUUGCCUUCCUUACCACACCUCGUCAAUUACUCACCUUUAUCGUCUUUGACGUGGUUUGCAUAAUCGCCCCUUUUCAAGGAUUACACCAUUUGGCCUGUUCGGUUUGACGCCAUCUCGCCAGUGUUCUUAUGUGUGUAUAAUAAAUUAGUAGUUGACUAAAUGGCGGUUACUUUCUGCGUGUAAUUUAAGAUGAUAGGCCCAGAUGUACACGAAUGUUGUAAUAAAGAAUUUAUGCACGUCCAUGGUGUGUACCGUAUUGUGUUUUAGCCAGAAACUAUGGUUAAAGUAGCUACGUGUUUCGGUACCAGAAGUCGAAGUGGUUGUACCGCCGAGGCUUCUCAACAAGAAAUACGCAUGAUCCGCCUCAUUUGGUCGUUAUUGAUUGUGGGUAUUCCAUCCAGGAGACUGUACGCGUCUGAGUGGCGUUUGUGCCGGACUCAGACCGUGAGACCAGAGUAUGAACUGUCCAGAAACACUUAGACCGCGAGCAAGACACAAGAUCUUCAGACUAGACCGCGUAGGUGCUUCGCGGUCUGGUCUGAAGAUCGUCUCGCACUUCGGUCGUUGUCUGCUGCUCUUUCAUGACGACAUCUAAAGUUUUCCCGCUGAUACACACCAAGUAUCAUUCGAGAUUCUCCCCCAACAGAACUGCUAGGAAAUUUACCUUAAGUUAUCAUUAGUAAAAUAUAUCCUGAUCUGGUAUGUUAUACAGUGUUCUUCACAGAAGACCGUGGUCAACAUUUUGAGUAGUUAUAAACUUAUCUCACAGAUGGUAACAGUUUAUUCAUAUGAUCAGUUCUCUUGUUCACUGUACCUUGCGCACACCUUGAAACCACGAUAGGUGUUGAAAACACGAACACUGCUUUAUCAACAUUUUGUACUAUAAAUUACGUCCCAAAUCUUCACU